rnacentral:rRNA from 1 species
UACAGAGGAUGCAAGCGUUAUCCGGAAUGAUUGGGCGUAAAGCGUCUGUAGGUGGCUUUUUAAGUCCGCCGUCAAAUCCCAGGGCUCAACUCUGGACGGGCGGUGGAAACUACCAAGCUAGAGUACGGUAGGGGCAGAGGGAAUUCCCGGUGUAGAGGUGAAAUUCGUAGAUAUCGGGAGGAACACCAGUGGCGAAGGCGGCGAUCUGGGCAGAUACUGACGCUGAGGUGCGAAAGCGUGGGGAGCAAACAGG